AUUGAACGCUGGCGGCAUGCUUUACACAUGCAAGUCGAACGGCAGCGCGGGGGCAACCCUGGCGGCGAGUGGCGAACGGGUGAGUAAUGUAUCGGAACGUAUCCUGUAAUGGGGGAUAACCAGUCGAAAGAUUGGGUAAUACCGCAUACGCACGAGAGUGGAAAGUAGGGGAUCGCAAGACCUUACGUUAUAGGAGCGGCCGAUAUCUGAUUAGCUAGUUGGUGGGGUAAAGGCCUACCAAGGCGACGAUGCGUAGCCGACCUGAGAGGGUGAUCGGCCACAUUGGGACUGAGACACGGCCCAGACUCCUACGGGAGGCAGCAGUGGGGAAUAUUGCACAAUGGGGGAAACCCUGAUGCAGCGACGCCGCGUGAAGGAUGAAGGUCUUCGGAUUGUAAACUUCUAUCAGCAGGGAAGAAAGGGCCUAUGGCCUAUGACGGUACCUGACUAAGAAGCCCCGGCUAACUACGUG
rnacentral:rRNA from 1 species